rnacentral:rRNA from 1 species
GACGAACGCUGGCGGCGUGCUUAACACAUGCAAGUCGAACGAGAGCGUAGAGAAAGCUUGCUUUUUCUACAAUCUAGUGGCAAACGGGUGAGUAACGCGUAAACAACCUGCCCUACGGAUGGGGACAACAGCUGGAAACGGCUGCUAAUACCGAAUACGUUCCGAAAGUCGCAUGACUAUCGGAAGAAAGGAUGGCCUCUAUUUAUAAGCUAUCGCCGGAGGAGGGGUUUGCGUCUGAUUAGCUAGUUGGAGGGGUAACGGCCCACCAAGGCGACGAUCAGUAGCCGGUCUGAGAGGAUGAACGGCCACAUUGGAACUGAGACACGGUCCAGACUCCUACGGGAGGCAGCAGUGGGGAAUCUUCCGCAAUGGGCGAAAGCCUGACGGAGCAACGCCGCGCGAGUGAAGACGGCCUUCGGGUUGUAAAGCUCUGUUAUACGGGACGAAUAAUCUUGUGGUUAAUACCCAUGAGAAGUGACGGUACCGUAAGAGAAAGCCACGGCUAACUACGUG